rnacentral:rRNA from 1 species
CCUACGGGUGGCAGCAGUGGGGAAUAUUGGACAAUGGGGGAAACCCUUAUCCAGCGACGCCGCGUGAGGGAAGAAGGUUUUCGGAUUGUAAACCUCUUUCAGUGGGGACGAUAAUGACGGUACCCACGGAGGAAGCCACGGCUAACUACGUGCCAGCAGCCGCGGUACUACGUAGGUGGCAAGCGUUGUCCGGAAUUACUGGGUGUAAAGGGAGCGUAGGCGGGAUGUCAAGUCAGAAGGGAAAAUUAUGGGCUCAACUCAUAACCUGCUUUUGAAACUGAUAUUCUUGAGUGAAGGAGAGGCAGGCGGAAUUCCGGGUGUAGCGGUGAAAUGCGUAGAUAUACGGAGGAACACCAGUGGCGAAGGCGGCCUGCUGGACAUUAACUGACGCUGAGGCGCGAAAGCGUGGGGAGCAAACAGGAUUAGAUACCCUUGUAGUC